UAUAUUUUAUUAUCAUAUAUCCUUAUGAGGAGAAUGCAGGGUGUGUGGACUAGCUAUGUACCAUCAGCGCAUUUAUCUGAGUCAGUGGUUUGCGGUUUAGCAUCUCAUACCUCACUGAGUGACUCCCAUUGUUACUCAGCUCUCUUUCUUUCCAUUGCAGUUAAGCUUACCGAGUAGUUGGAUAUCUGAACAGUUUGAUGUCUUUGGGAUAAUUGUAUUUAUUUUUAUUUUAAUUAAUCACUAGGUGGACCGCCCACACGCAUGU
rnacentral:lncRNA from 1 species